rnacentral:rRNA from 1 species
AUUGAACGCUGGCGGCAGGCCUAACACAUGCAAGUCGAGCGGAUGAAGGGAGCUUGCUCCUGGAUUCAGCGGCGGACGGGUGAGUAAUGCCUAGGAAUCUGCCUGGUAGUGGGGGAUAACGUCCGGAAACGGGCGCUAAUACCGCAUACGUCCUGAGGGAGAAAGUGGGGGAUCUUCGGACCUCACGCUAUCAGAUGAGCCUAGGUCGGAUUAGCUAGUUGGUGGGGUAAAGGCCUACCAAGGCGACGAUCCGUAACUGGUCUGAGAGGAUGAUCAGUCACACUGGAACUGAGACACGGUCCAGACUCCUACGGGAGGCAGCAGUGGGGAAUAUUGGACGAUGGGGGAGAGCCUGAUCCAGCCAUGCCGCGUGUGUGAAGAAGGUCUUCGGAUUGUAAAGCACUUUAAGUUGGAAGGAAGGGCAGUAAGUUAAUACCUUACUGUUUUGACGUUACCAACAGAAUAAGCACCGGCUAACUUCGUG